GUCUACGGCCCUGCCACCCUGAACACCCCCGAUCUCGUCUCAUCUCAGAAGCUAAGCAGGGUCGGGCUUGGUUAGCACUUGCAUAAGAAAGCAGGAGGGUCCCCACCCUAGAGG
ensembl:rRNA 5S_rRNA 5S ribosomal RNA